GAAUGCUGACAUAAGUAACGAUAAAGCGGGUGAAAAGCCCGCUCGCCGGAAGACCAAGGGUUCCUGUCCAACGUUAAUCGGGGCAGGGUGAGUCGACCCCUAAGGCGAGGCCGAAAGGCGUAGUCGAUGGGAAACAGGUUAAUAUUCCUGUACUUGGUGUUACUGCGAAGGGGGGACGGAGAAGGCUAUGUUGGCCGGGCGACGGUUGUCCCGGUUUAAGCGUGUAGGCUGGUUUUCCAGGCAAAUCCGGAAAACCAAGGCUGAGGCGUGAUGACGAGGCACUACGGUGCUGAAGCGACAAAUGCCCUGCUUCCAGGAAAAGCCUCUAAGCAUCAGGUAACAUCAAAUCGUACCCCAAACCGACACAGGUGGUCAGGUAGAGAAUACCAAGGCGCUUGAGAGAACUCGGGUGAAGGAACUAGGCAAAAUGGUGCCGUAACUUCGGGAGAAGGCACGCUGAUAUGUAGGUGAAGCGACUUGCUCGUGGAGCUGAAAUCAGUCGAAGAUACCAGCUGGCUGCAACUGUUUAUUAAAAACACAGCACUGUGCAAACACGAAAGUGGACGUAUACGGUGUGACGCCUGCCCGGUGCCGGAAGGUUAAUUGAUGGGGUUAGCGGUAA
rnacentral:rRNA from 1 species